GACGAACCGUGCGAACGUUAUUCGGAAUCACUGGGCUUAAAGCGCGUGUAGGCGGGCGGGAACGUCGGUUGCUGAAAGCCCCCGGCUCAACCGGGGAACGGGCGCCGAAACGACCCGCCUCGAGGGACGUAGGGGGACCUGGAACUUCCGGUGGAGCGGUGAAAUGCGUUGAGAUCGGAAGGAACACCAGUGGCGAAGGCGGCUACCUGGCCUAAUACUGACACUGAGAGACGAAAGCUAGGGGAGCGAAUGGG
rnacentral:rRNA from 1 species